UGGGGAAUCUUGCGCAAUGGGCGAAAGCCUGACGCAGCGACGCCGCGUGAGUGAUGAAGGCCUUCGGGUUGUAAAGCUCUGUGGAGGGGGACGAAUAAGGGCCGUCGAAUAGACGUCCCGAUGACGGUACCCCUUUAGCAAGCACCGGCUAACUCUGUGCCAGCAGCCGCGGUAAGACAGAGGGUGCAAACGUUGUUCGGAAUUACUGGGCGUAAAGCGCGUGUAGGCGGCUCGGCAAGUCGGGUGUGAAAGCCCUGGGCUUAACCUAGGAAGUGCACUCGAAACUGCCAAGCUUGAGUUCUGGAGAGGAAGGCGGAAUUCUCGGUGUAGAGGUGAAAUUCGUAGAUAUCGAGAGGAACACCGGUGGCGAAGGCGGCCUUCUGGACAGCAACUGACGCUGAGACGCGAAAGCGUGGGGAGCAAACAGG
rnacentral:rRNA from 1 species